rnacentral:lncRNA from 1 species
UUUUUUUUCCUUCUCAAAUAUGCUUAUUUGAUCAUCCUCAACUUUAUACCAAGAUUAUCUGACUAAGAGCUGACUCCCUAAUUCAAAAUUCUAGAUGGAGUGGUUACUUCUUUCUAAACUUAAAAUUAACCAAAGAAAUGAAAAAAGGAAACCACAUAAAACUUUUCUAUGUACAAAAAAAGAACUAAAAUUAAAAGGAAAAAAAAGCCAACAAAGUAAAGGAAAUACACCAAUGGCAACACUACAGAAAUGAUCCUAAACCUGAAGCUAGUACAACCAACUACAGAGGCUAAAUCUGGCCAGCACAAGCACAUGCUCAAGAAAACAAAAUAACUACUAAAAUGUUCAGAACAUUAUAGUAUCUCCAAACUAUAAACGCAAAUAUUCAUCAACAGCAGAAUGGAUAGACAAACUACCACUGCACACAAUGGAAUAAAGUGAACAAUGUGGAUGAAUGGCACAAACUUAAAGUUAAGCCAAAAAAGCCAGUCACAGAAUACAUACUCUAUGAGUCCCUUUAUGAACACACAAAAACAGCCAAAGCUAAUCUAUGUUUUUGUUUUGUUUCGUUUUUUGUCUUUUUAGGCCCACAUCCGCAGCAUCUGGAGGUUCCCAGUGCACAUGAGAUUGUGUGUACUCCUUUGAAGAGUUUCCCCCAGUGCUGUGGAGCUCCUGCAAUUAGGCCCUGCUGGUCUUCAAAGUCAAAUGUUCUGGGAGUUCAUCUUCCCAAAGCCAGACUCCCAGGCAGGGGAGCGCGAUGUGGGUUCAGAACUCUCACUCCUGUGGGAGAGCCUCUGCACUGUAAUUCUUCUCAGUCCCUAAGACCACCCACCCGCGGGCCAGGGGAUUCAUGGGUGCGCCCCUCCUGCUGUCUCGUCGUGGCUUCUUAUGUCUUUAGAUGUAGAAGCUCUUUUUUGGCAGGUUUCAGUCUUUCUGAUCAACGUUUAUUCCAGGAAUUAGCUGUGAUUCUGGCGGUUUCUGAGAGGAGGCGAGCUCAAGGGCCUUCCAGUCGGCCGAGCUGAAAGAUUCCUCGGGACUCUCACCUCAAAGGAUGGGCCGCUUCUUUAUCUACACAGCUCUGGGCCAGAGACCUGUACCUGGCAGUAACAAUGAAUACUUGUGAAACUAAUCAAUAUCUAUUAGUUGACUGAUCAACCUGUUCUUUUCCAUAAUUUGUCCCUUUUCUAUAACAGCACCUAUUUUUCUACUUUAAUUGUUAAAGAUAAAAUACUUCAAUGGGCAAAUAUCACUUAAAGCCAAAGAAAAUAUAACUCUGUGGAUAUUCCCUAAGGAAAAACCAAGGGUAUAUAACAAAAUCACUCAUUAGAAAUCCUUCCUAAUAAAGGACAAUGCUCUAGGACACUUUAUAGCAUACCGCAUCCAUUUUCAGAAAUUUAGGGACACGUCUCAAAUUUCUGAUUCCCUAAGUUCCUUAAGAACCCUUCUUCCAACACCAAUCCUCUAUGCUACCAUCCCAAUGUCCUCCCACCCCCACCACCACAAAAACCCUUUGAGUAAUUUUUUUUUCUUUUUUGGCUGUCCCUUGGCAUGUGCAGUUCCCGGGCCAGGAAACAGAUCCAAGCCACAGUUGCAACCUAAGCCAAAGCUGCAGCAAGGCCAGAUUGUUAACCCACCAUGCCCAGCUAGGGAACGGAGUUAUUUUAAUAGUUACACUUAAGGCAUGAGAAUUAUUUCAGAGCUCACUGCAGUCAAUAUGCUAAUAUUAAAUAAUGUUGAGGCGACAACAAAAAAGUAAAUAACGUUCAAGAAAAGUUUAAUUUUACUCAUAAGUG